GCCGCGGUGGCGGAAUUGGUAUACGCACCAGCCUUAGGAGCUGGCGGUUGCAAAACCAUGAGAGUUCGAGUCUCUCCCACGGCACCA
rnacentral:tRNA from 1 species